rnacentral:rRNA from 1 species
GCGCAGCAGGCGCGAAAACUUUACAAUGUGCGAAAGCACGAUAAGGGAACUCUGAGUGCCUCCUAAGGAGGCUGUUCUGAUGUCUAAAAAGCAACAGAAGUAAGGGCUGGGUAAGACCGGUGCCAGCCGCCGCGGUAACACCGGCAGCCCAAGUGGUAGCCACGUUUAUUGGGUCUAAAGCGUUCGUAGCCGGCCAGGUAAGUUCCUUGGUAAAUUUAGCCGCUUAACGGUUAAGCUUUCAGGGAAUACUGCUUGGCUUGGGACUGGGAGAGGUCAGAGGUACUCCGGGGGUAGGGGUGAAAUCUAUUAAUCCCUGGGGGACCACCGGUAGCGAAGGCGUCUGACCAGACCAGGUCCGACGGUGAGGGACGAAGGCUAGGGGCGCGAACCGGAUUAGAUACCCGUGUAGU